rnacentral:pre_miRNA from 1 species
UAAAUACUCCCUCCGUCCGGAAAUACUUGUCAUCAAAAUGGAUAAAAGGAAAUGUAUCUAGACGUAUUUUAGUUUUAGAUACAUCUAUUUUUAUCCAUUUUGAUGACAAGUAUUUUCAGACGGAGGGAGUAGAAA